GGGGCCCGCACAAGCGGUGGAGCAUGUGGUUUAAUUCGAUGCAACGCGAAGAACCUUACCUGGUCUUGACAUCCACGGAAGUUUUCAGAGAUGAGAAUGUGCCUUCGGGAACCGUGAGACAGGUGCUGCAUGGCUGUCGUCAGCUCGUGUUGUGAAAUGUUGGGUUAAGUCCCGCAACGAGCGCAACCCUUAUCCUUUGUUGCCAGCGGUCCGGCCGGGAACUCAAAGGAGACUGCCAGUGAUAAACUGGAGGAAGGUGGGGAUGACGUCAAGUCAUCAUGGCCCUUACGACCAGGGCUACACACGUGCUACAAUGGCGCAUACAAAGAGAAGCGACCUCGCGAGAGCAAGCGGACCUCAUAAAGUGCGUCGUAGUCCGGAUUGGAGUCUGCAACUCGACUCCAUGAAGUCGGAAUCGCUAGUAAUCGUGGAUCAGAAUGCCACGGUGAAUACGUUCCCGGGCCUUGUACACACCGCCCGUCACACCAUGGGAGUGGGUUGCAAAAGAAGUAGGUAGCUUAACCUUCGGGAGGGCGCUUACCACUUUGUGAUUCAUGACUGGGGUGAAGUCGUAACAAGGUAACCGUAGGGGAACCUGCGGUUGGAUCAC
rnacentral:rRNA from 1 species